rnacentral:snRNA from 1 species
GUUCCUUCGGAGACAUCCGAUGAAAUUGUAACGAUACAGUGAAGAUUAGCAUGGCCCUGCGCAAGUAUGACACGCACAAAUCGAGAGUAAGCAUAACAAGAG